rnacentral:rRNA from 1 species
UACGAACUGUGCAAACGUUAUUCGGAAUCACUGGGCUUAAAGGGUGCGUAGGCGGCUAUCUAAGCAGGGUGUGAAAGCCCCCGGCUCAACCGGGGAGUUGCGUUCUGAACUGGAUGGCUGGAGUGAGAUAGGGGCGUGUGGAACUUCCAGUGGAGCGGUGAAAUGUGUUGAUAUUGGAAGGAACGCCGGUGGCGAAAGCGACACACUGGGUCUCAACUGACGCUGAGGCACGAAAGCCAGGGGAGCGAACGGG